rnacentral:tRNA from 1 species
UCCUCAGUAACUUAGUGGUAGAGUGGUCGAUCUUUAACUGAUUGGUCGUAGGUUCAAAUCCUACUUGGGGAG